GAUGUUGGAACUCCAGGGAAGCUGUAAAAUUAGAAUUUUUACAAGCCUUAAGAAAUAUACUCACUCUGGUAUGUAACACUUAAAAGAGCUUCUUAUGUCUGUUUAUAAUUGUGUAUACAGCAAAUAAUUUAGGAAAAAUGAUGCUUAUUAUCAAAGGCUUGUAUAUCUUUGUUUUAUAUGACUAUUAAACUAAGAUAUUUGUGUGAAUAAACUGAAUACUUUGUUUUGAUAUUUUAUUAAAAUCUUAUCAGUUUAUUAUGACUAUUAAACUAAGAUAUUUGUGUGAAGCUGAAUACUUUGUUUUGAUAUUUUAUUAAAAUCUUAUCAGUUUAUUCCCUGGGAUGUGUGGCAUAGGUUAAAUGUAAUUUUCUCAAAACUCACCAGAAUGUGAAGUAGGGACUUUUGAGACAUAUUGCUUCUUAUACUUAUUUUUUAAUCUAAUGAAAACUUUAUAAUUUGUGUCCCUGAGAUAAUAACACUCUCAGGUAUAUCACUUUCAGUAGUACUAUGGGGAGGGUGAUUGAGGGAAAUGAAAUGUACUGGAGUUGAAACAGAAUAAAAAUACUGACCAUCAUUCAAUGUUGGCAUUAAAAACUAUGAAAAUAGAAUUCAGUUAAAUUUAAUACUAAAAUAGAAAAGGAAUGACUAUCUUUUGCUUUUAAUAUUUCUUCCUGUUAAUAAUUUACAACUGAGUCUACCUAAAGGUUACAUUUAGGCUAGAUUGACAAAUACGUAUCUCAUAUAUAUGGUAUUUUACUGUCAGAACCUGUGCUAGAUGCUGGUGACACAAAGAUAAAAAAGCACUAGUCACUCAAGGGAUUAGUGUGAAGUCAAUACAUUUAUUCAGCUGAACUGGACUGAAAGUUGAGGCCUGGUAUAAGAACUUUCAGGCAGAAGAAACAGCAUGUUCUAGGGUGUGAAGACCAAAACAGCAUGUCAUACUCAGGGAACUUAUGAAGUCUGCAAAUUUUAGAAUGAAGAAGAAAAGUGAGAGUGGAAGGAAAUGAAACAAGAUAGACAGUGGUCAAAUCAUGAAGAACUAUAUAUUUUCUUUAUUAUCCUAAAGUAGUUGGGCAAUGAUCAAAGUUGCUUUUUAGAAAUAUUAUUCUGUUGAUGAAGUGUGAAUCAUAGAUUAGACAGAGAGCUGGAGGACCAAACUUUGGUCAAGGAUGAAAAUAAGAACUUUGAUAUCAAGAAAUCUAACAAUGAAUUAAGCUUAUGCAGAAAUCUAAAUGUAAGGCAAUUUAUGAGUAACUCAUUAAGGCAAUGGUGUGAUAUUUAAACAGCUAAUGGAAAUACAUUAUCAGUGCAAUUUCAUGAUAUAAUUUUUACUAUCAAAAAUAAGUACUUUUGAAGUUUGAGAAUAAUAAUGAAGACUGAUGAUAACCAUGACCCAUAGGAAUGGAUCUGUCAAAUGCUCAGCAUUUCUUAGUCUAGUGGUACCUGCAGCUGUUGAGCAUUUGAAUUGUGGUUAGGCCUGUGUGGGAAGGGCUCAGUAUGAAACAAAGAAU
rnacentral:lncRNA from 10 species